GAAAAAAAUCAGAUCAAUUAUUAAAAAUUGCAAAAUAUCAGUAUUUUUUGGCUUGGAAAGGGUGAAAGGAAAUCAGAUAAAAUUUUCAGAAAUUGAAAAAUGUCAAUAUCUUUCGGCUUGUUGAGAGAUAAAAGGACUGCUACAGACUCAAGACAAACUGUUACUUGGAUGAAAUUUCGAGCCUGUUAGACGAUAAAGGAAAUGACUUUAAGAUAGAGGUAGAUUUUUCGAAUAACGGAA